ACUCUUCGUCUUAUUCAAAUUUUUUUACGAUUGAUAUUUUUAUUUUUAUUAGAUGAUAAAUCAUGAAUAGUACUUUGCGUGUGACUAAUUUUUUUUCUAAUUUUUAAAAAAAAUUUAAAUAAGACGGACGGU
rnacentral:pre_miRNA from 1 species